GCCAGAGGCGGAAGCGGAAGCGGGGGCGCGGCCAUGGAGGAGGCGGCGGGAGGGAGGGUGCUGCUGGCCCUGCCCGCGGCUGUUCCGGGGCCCCUCCCCCCGCGGCUGCACGGAGAGCUGCGCCUGCGGGCGCCGCCCCAGGACCUGGUGCUGGAAUGGGAACCCCUGGAGGGGAACUGGGAACCCCCCGAGGAGACGGUGAGACCCCAAAACAUCCCAAAAUAACC